CUUGAAGAUAGAGGGUGGACUUGGAUCGCCUAUAUGAGAUGGAGAAGGACUUUGGAGAUUUAAUUCGCUAUACACCUGGUCAAAAGGCUCAUACAACUCAUACAGAACUCCUUGACUUGAAACCACUUCGCGUGACUGCUCUUGCAAAUGGAACUUAUGAAGCGUUGUACAAAUUCACACAUUCUAACCCAAUACUGACGGAGGCUUUUCAUGUGCUAUAUAUCACAUAGACCAAAAUGUUCUUCUCAGAGCUCCAACCAGAAGUGGUAAAUCCAUAUCAGCCCAGCUUGCCAUGCUCCAUCUAUUUAAUACGCAG